rnacentral:lncRNA from 1 species
GGCUAAGUGGCAGUAUCUCUUCUUUAGCUUAAUAACUAGUAGUUCUAAUUUGCUAUUUUAUAGUCUUAGCACAUCACACAAGUGAGUGAUGAGGAAGAGGAUGAUGAUGGCUGUGACCUUUUUGCUGACUCUGAGAAGGAGGAGGAAGAUAUUGAGGACAUUGAAGAAAAUACUAGACCUGUAAGGAAGGCUGUAGUUGCUAUCACUUGGCAGGGUUUUAGAACCAAUGACUUUUUUUAUUUUUUGUUGUGACUUACUUUGUACAUCUCUCAUUUUUGCAUAUUUGUCAUUUCAUUUACACUUUGGAAAAUAAUGGCAAGCAUCUCAAAUUGCCUCACAAGUACCACUUGCUUGUCCAGAUGUUAUGAUUUUAUGAGUCAGAUCAUUCAGAAUAUGUCUGGUUCCAGAGUUUGAAGACCGUAGUGCUCCUGUCUCUCUGCCCAUGACCUUUUUCUUAUUUUCUUAUUCAGAUUUUUAAGUAUUAAAGUCAAGUAUUAAAAAAAAUAAGGAAAUAAAGAGCAUCUCCCUUUGAAGGAACAUUUUAUGAGUCCUAUUCCUUGGGUGAGCUGUAUAGGGUACAUAUGUUUAAGUUCAUUUAAUUAAACUCAGUUUUCUCCUCAGUUCAAUUUCUUUGCUCUUGUAUACAUAAUGUUGUUAGGUGUCCAAAGUGAAGUGUACUAGUUUGUUACAAAAAAGAGAUUCUUUUGAUUUCUCCUGCUUUAGAAAAGCAGACCUACUUCGUUUGCAGUGAGCUGGCUGCCCGCAUCAAGGGGGAUGCCGUGGGCUGAGUGGACGAGGAGCCGACAAAUGAAGAGGAUAACUUAUUCGCACCCCCCAAGCUGACCGACGAGGACUUCUCACCAUUUGGCUCUGGAGGCAGCCUGUUCAGUGGGGGCAAGGGGCUCUUUGAUUAUGAGGACGAGGAGGUGAGUCCAUGGCACUCAGCAACACUCCCUGCAGCUAGCUGUGUCAGGGGUCCACAGGGAAGAAAUAGGCUUUGCUUGUUGAGUGGGGAAAAACAGUUUCUCAGUUGGAAGUUGCUUCUAUUUUCAUAUUUUGGGACAUUUUGA